UUUAAGCGCACUCAUGAGUUUCCGUGUCCAAUUUUGAUCGUCCGUCUUAUUUGAACAUUUGUUAUGAGUAGUAUUUUUACUGUUAUUAGAUGAUAAAAAUAUGAAUAAUAAUUUAUGCGUGACUUAUGUUUUUUAUUUUUUAUUUUUUUAAAAAAAAGAUGGAUGAUUAAAGUUGAACACGGAAACUUAUGACUGCGCUUAAA
rfam:Oryza glumipatula chromosome 12, whole genome shotgun sequence.